GAUGAAGAACGUAGCGAAAUGCGAUAAGUAGUGUGAAUUGCAGAAUUCAGUGAAUCAUCGAAUCUUUGAACGCACAUUGCGCCCUUUGGUAUUCCUUAGGGCAUGUCUGUUCGAGCGUCAUUUAAACCUUCAAGCUAAGCUUGGUGUUGGGUGACUGUCCGCCUCACGGCGGACUCGCCUCAAAAUUAUUGGCGGCCGGUACAUUGGCUUCGAGCGCAGCAGAAACGCGAACUCGGGCCCGUCGUAUUGGCUCCCAGAAGCUAUCUUCACAAUUUUGACCUCUGAUCAGGUAGGGAUACCCGCUGAACUUAAGCAUAUCAAUAGCGGAGGA
rnacentral:misc_RNA from 1 species